UUCCCUUCUCCAUCGAACCUUCAAAGAUUCUUCCUUGAUAUUUAUCAUAUUCGCAACAUUAUCAACAAUCUUUCAUAACACACGUCACAUUGAUUGAAUUUAUUCGAAUAACCUACGAAACGGCGGGUUCAAGAGGUUAUGGUCUCAAUGCCAGCGAAUCACGAUUGACCUUAAGCCGGUAUCGCAUUGCGCCGAUUCUUUCCACAUCGUUCGAAUUACACGCACGGUAGGUAAGAGUAGGUAAGAGACACGAGGAGAGGAGAUGGGCGGGUGUAAGUGCAUGCACCCAACCGACUCUUCGCGAGAUUCUAGGGAAGAUACACGGGGUCAUGGGUGGCCGGUGAAAAUGUCACGCUAGUUGAUACAGACUUUGAACGUUCCUGUACCCACGUUCGAUCACCUUUCAAACGAUCCUCGAACAAGUCGAUUUCAAGUACGAGACGCUUUCAAGGAACAAACUGUGGAGAAUACUGUGUUUCGUGUCGCCAAUGAAAAACAUUUCUGAAACUGGAAGCAAGAUCUUUAUUGAAAUUUUAGAAAAAGUAUGCCAGUCAUAAGGAUAAAAGACAUAGACGCGAUCUAAUUUUGAGAUUUUGAGGUUAUCUAACAAAUUUGUUGAAAGUUCUUUCUGUAUCUUGAUACAGAAUGUGUCGUACGUUUGACGAAAUCCACUUAUAUAUUCCACGUCUGUAAUUCGUGCGUGGAACAGUUAUGAGUCACACAAUUACUCAGCAUUCGUAAGAAUCGAACGAAAUGUCACAUGAUUCCCGAUCUUACUUACAAAUUUAUAUUUCUCGUGGAAAGAAAUAUGGAGAAAUAAUGCUGUAUAUUUCCAACUUACCGGAAUUUGUACAUCAGUAAUUCGGUUAUGAAACACUUGACGAUGGAAACUGAUGGAAUCUUUUUAAAUCUUUAAAUCUCCGAAAAUUUUUAAAAUCUCGAAAUUUCCAAAAUAAUUUCAAAGAUGAAGAAAAAUAAUUUUGAUGAAUCUCAUCUAUAAUAAUGUAAAGCAUAAGAUAAAUAUUACGCAAAUAUAAAAAACAAAAAUAAACCACAAAGUGAAACGAUAUCUCGAGAAGGAAAUUGCGAAAGUAUCAAGAUAUAAUGCGUAUAAUGAUCUGAGCGCAGAAAUCAAAGGGACAAACGUGUCUUAUCCUUUUGCGAUAAUUGUCAGCAAGUUUGGGGCAAAAAAAUACCGCUAUACCUCAUAUAUGGUUGACACGUUUGUAUUAAUAAUACAUAUCUGGAGUAUAUAGCAACAGCAGCGCAGAAAGAAGCGAUAUCGUGUAAGAUCGAUGAUAUAAUUUCCCGCAGAAGAGGAAAGUGAGGGUCUCGGGUAACUCGCACGAGUCGAGUUGUUGGCCAGAAAUUCAUUAGGAAUGCACGGCACGCAGCAAGAAACUGUUCGGUUCGAUCGUUACAUAAAUAAUUACGAUUGCAAUUAAGAUUACCACUACGAGAUGUUUUUUCAAUGAUGGAUUCGAAGCGAAAAUAUCGAGUUGAUUGAUUAUUGUUUUUAAAAAAAUAGAGCUUAAACGAAGUGGAAUUAACUCAUCGUUUUUUAACUCUAAUUAAUUCUUUCUUAUAUUAAUUUUCGUAUUCGAUCCAUUUCUAUUAUUUUUAUAGAAAUUCUUGAGAUACUUUGAGAACGAAUUAUUCAAUUUUAUUUUUAACAAAUUUUCGAAGCCUUCUAAAUCCUCAAUGUGGAAAUAUUUCUCAAAUUCUUUUUUUAAAAACAACUUAACUAAUCACUUUCAGAGAACGGCAGCGACUAAACUAAACAAAAAACAUUCAAAGUGAAAAGAAAAAUCAAAAUAUAACAGAUACAACAAAAUUACCCAUUCGGUCUGUCGGGAUAGCUUUCCUGUUCAGGCAUUCUCGACGUUCUGAAGUUCUCUUGCUCCUUUUCCACGGUUGCUCGUUGCUGUUGCUGCU
rnacentral:lncRNA from 1 species